ACAAAUCUCGCGCUGAACCUGUAUAUAUAAUGGUGUGGCGUCGUGACGCUUCUGUGAGGCGGAGUCAGAGUCAGACAGGUUUCGCAGGUGUGUACGUUCACAACAACACAAGAAACCCGAACGAAACCCAGACAAAUCACUGCUUACUUCGUCCAUUUCAGUAAAAGGCAAUGCCAGAAUCAAGCCGGCAUCAUCACACAAGGGACAAAAACUACUCUAGUCGAGACAGGAGAGAUGAGUACAGAGAGGACAGGAGAACACCUGAUGGAGACGACAGAUCACGAAGCCACCGAGAGAAGCAACGAUAUGCUGACACACAAAGGGACCCCCGUGUGUACGAGGCCACCCGUUAUCAUAGUCAGGGAGUGCCCAGUUACACCGAGACAUCAUCUUCAUACUAUGAUGACAGUCAACCCUACCAUCAUGCACUUUACAACCUAAGAUACAUCACAACUAGCAGAGGUAAACUCACUUUGAGGUUUU